CAGCUGCAUUUAAUGUGAUAAAGGAGAAACAGAAAGGAAGGGAGGGAGAGAAGACGGGAGGAUGGAAAAGAAGGAAGAGGAAGAGAGUGAAUGAAGACACGAGGAAGAGUCAUUUCCUUCUAUACAAUGUUUUCAUCCCUGCUCUCCAUUGUACAAUGUGUGGCUUUCUUGAGGCACUGCCUCUCGAGUCCCUACCUCAAACUUCACUUCAAAUAGGAGAUUUUAUGUUGGGGAAAGAAGGAUUGGUAAAGAAUUCUUACUUAAAAAAAAUCCUGCCCUCUCCCUCUCUCCCUCUCUCCCUCUGUCCCUCUCCCUCUCCCUCUCCCCACGGUCUCCCUCUCCCUCUCUCCACGGCCUCCCUCUGAUGCCGAGCUGAAGCUGGACGGUACUGCUGCCUGAUUCUCCUGCCUCAGCCUGCCAGCGCGCGCCGCCACGCCUGACUGGUUUUCGUAUUUUUUUGGUGGAGACGGGUUUCGCUGUGUUGGCUGGGCUGGUCUCCAGCUCCUAACCGCGAGUGAUCCGCCAGCCUCGGCAUCCUGAGGUGCGGGGAUUGCAGACAGAGUCUCGUUCACUCCGUGCUCAAUGGCGCCCAGGCUGGAGUGCAGUGGCGUGAUCUCGGCUCGCUACAACCUUCACCUCCCAGCAGCCUGCCUUGGCCUCCCAAAGUGCCGAGAUUGCAGCCUCUGCCCGGCUGCCACCCCGUCUGGGAAGUGAGGAGCGUCUCUGCCCGGCCGCCAUCCCAUCUAGGAAGUGAGGAGCGCCUCUUCCCGGCCGCCAUCCCAUCUAGGAAGUGAGGAGCGCCUCUUCCCGGCCACCCAUCAUCUGAGAUGUGGGGAGCACCUCUGCCCUGCCGCCCCGUCCGGGAUGUGAGGAGCGUCUCUGCCCGGCCGCCCCCUCUGAGAAGUGAGGAGACCCUCUGCCUGGCAACCGCCCCGUCUGAGAAGUGAGGAGCCCCUCCGCCCAGCAGCCACCCCGUCUGGGAAGUGAGGAGCGUCUCUGCCCGGCAGCCACCUCGUCCGGCAGGGAGGUGGGGGGGUCAGCCCCCCGCCCGGCCAGCCACCCCGUCCGGGAGGGAGGUGGGGGGAUCAGCCCCCCGCCCGGCCAGCCGCCCCGUCCGGGAGGUGAGGGGCGCCUCUGCCCGGCCGCCCCUACUGGGAAGUGAGGAGCCCCUCUGCCUGGCCGGCCGCUCCGUCCAGGAGGGAGGUGGGGGGGUCAGCCCCCCGCCCGGCCAGCCGCCCCGUCCGGGAGGGAGGUGGGGGGGGUCAGCCCCCCACCUGGCCAGCCGCCCCGUCCGGGAGGUGAGGGGCGCCUCUGCCCGGCCGCCCCUACUGGGAAAUGAGGAGCCCCUCUGCCCGGCCACCACCCCAUCUGGGAGGUGUGCCCAGCGGCUCAUUGAGAACGGGCCAUGAUGACAGUGGCAGUUUUGUGGAAUAGAAAGGGGGGAAAGGUGGGGAAAAGAUUGAGAAAUCGGAUGGUUGCCGUGUCUGUGUAGAAAGAGGUAGACGGGGGAGACUUUUCAUUUUGUUCUGUACUAAGAAAAAUUCUGCCUUGGGAUCCUGUUGAUCUGUGACCUUACCCCCAACCCUGUGCUAUCUGAAACAUGUGCUGUAUCCAC
rnacentral:lncRNA from 1 species